CACAUGAUAGCUUAAAAUUAAAGCUUUAAACUUUUAAUUUAAAAAUGAGAAUAUCUCUUAUGUGG
rnacentral:tRNA from 1 species